GUGAGUCAUCGAAUCUUUGAACGCAUCUUGCGCUCCUUGGUAUUCCGAGGAGCAUGCCUGUUUGAGUGUCAUAAAGUUCUCAACCACAUUGAUUUGCUUCUGAUGUGGAUUGGACAUGGGAAUUUUUGCAGGCCUCUUCAAAGAGGUCUGCUUUCCUGAAAUAGAUUAGUGGUAUCUGAGCAGAGACUUACUACGGGUGUGAUAAAUCAUCUAUGCCUAUUUUGUAGAAUGCUGCAACAGGACUGCUUCAAAAUCUCAUUUGUUGACCAAUUUGACCUCAAAUCAGGUAGGACUACCCGCUGAACUUAAGCAUAUCAAUAAGCGGAGG
rnacentral:rRNA from 1 species